AUGCUUAACUGACAGGGGAGACACCCUGAUCACGAAGUUGGUUUUCCUAGGCCAAGGCUUAUCCGUAGCACUCUGAAUGUACUGACCUCUGUGAUUUCCCCAAAUGUGGGAAACUUGAAUGCAUUUAAUUUGUGGUAGUGGGGGAUGCGUUCACACUCUCCUCUG